GACGAACGCUGGCGGCGUGCUUAACACAUGCAAGUCGAACGGAAAGGCCCUGCUGUUGUGGGGUGCUCGAGUGGCGAACGGGUGAGUAACACGUGAGUAACCUGCCCUUGACUUUGGGAUAACUUCAGGAAACUGGGGCUAAUACCGGAUAGGAGCUCCGGCUGCAUGGUGGGGGUUGGAAAGUUUCGGCGGUUGGGGAUGGACUCGCGGCUUAUCAGCUUGUUGGUGGGGUAGUGGCUUACCAAGGCUUUGACGGGUAGCCGGCCUGAGAGGGUGACCGGCCACAUUGGGACUGAGAUACGGCCCAGACUCCUACGGGAGGCAGCAGUGGGGAAUAUUGCACAAUGGGCGGAAGCCUGAUGCAGCAACGCCGCGUGCGGGAUGACGGCCUUCGGGUUGUAAACCGCUUUCGCCUGUGACGAAGCGUGAGUGACGGUAAUGGGUAAAGAAGCACCGGCUAACUACGUG
rnacentral:rRNA from 1 species